AUUGAACGCUGGUGGCAGGCCUAAUACAUGCAAGUCGAGCGGAAACGAUGAGAGCUUGCUCUCAGGCGUCGAGCGGCGGACGGGUGAGUAACGCGUAGGAAUCUACCCAGUAGUGGGGGAUAGCCCGGGGAAACCCGGAUUAAUACCGCAUACGCCCCACGGGGGAAAGCAGGGGACCUUCGGGCCUUGCACUAUUGGAUGAGCCUGCGUUGGAUUAGCUUGUUGGUGGGGUAAAAGCCUACCAAGGCGACGAUCCAUAGCUGGUCUGAGAGGAUGAUCAGCCACACUGGGACUGAGACACGGCCCAG
rnacentral:rRNA from 1 species